GUCCUCUUCAUCUAAUGGUAGGAUAUCACUCUUUCACGGUGAAAACAGGGGUUCAAAUCCCCUAGGGGAUA
rnacentral:tRNA from 1 species